GUGGGGAAUCUUGCACAAUGCGUGAAAGCGUGAUGCAGCAACGCCGCGUGCGGGAAGAAGGCCUUAGGGUUGUAAACCGCUUUCAGUUGGGACGAAGCUUCACAGGUUAAUAGCCUAUCGGAGUGACGGUACCUUCAGAAGAAGCGCCGGCUAACUACGUGCCAGCAGCCGCGGUAAUACGUAGGGCGCGAGCGUUGUCCGGAAUCAUUGGGCGUAAAGCGCGUGUAGGCGGCUUAGUAAGUCUACUGUGAAAGUCCAGGGCUCAACCCUGGAAUGUCGGUGGAUACUGCUGAGCUGGAGUACGGGAGGGGCGAGUGGAAUUCCUGGUGUAGCGGUGGAAUGCGCAGAUAUCAGGAGGAACACCUAUGGCGAAGGCAGCUCGCUGGAACGUUACUGACGCUGAGACGCGAAAGCGUGGGGAGCAAACAGGAUUAGAUACCCUGGUAGUCCACGCUGUAAACGAUGGAUACUAGGUGUGGGGGGUGUCAACUCCCUCGGUGCGGAAGCUAACGCAUUAAGUAU
rnacentral:rRNA from 1 species